rnacentral:rRNA from 1 species
AGUGAACGCUGGCGGUAGGCCUAACACAUGCAAGUCGAACGGCAGCACAGUAAGAGCUUGCUCUUACGGGUGGCGAGUGGCGGACGGGUGAGGAAUACAUCGGAAUCUACUUUUUCGUGGGGGAUAACGUAGGGAAACUUACGCUAAUACCGCAUACGACCUACGGGUGAAAGCAGGGGAUCUUCGGACCUUGCGCGAUUGAAUGAGCCGAUGUCGGAUUAGCUAGUUGGCGGGGUAAAGGCCCACCAAGGCGACGAUCCGUAGCUGGUCUGAGAGGAUGAUCAGCCACAUUGGAACUGAGACACGGUCCAGACUCCUACGGGAGGCAGCAGUGGGGAAUAUUGGACAAUGGGCGCAAGCCUGAUCAAGCCAUACCGCGUGGGUGAAGAAGGCCUUCGGGUUGUAAAGCCCUUUUGUUGGGAAAGAAAAGCAGCAGGUUAAUACCCCGCUGUUCUGACGGGACCCAAAGAAUAAGCACCGGCUAACUUCGU